rnacentral:rRNA from 1 species
CCCUGCCUUUUGUACACACCGCCCGUCGCACCUACCGAUUGAAUGGUCCGGUGAAGCCUCCGGAUUGGAAGGUCUGGCCCUGCCAGCCGGCCGAGAAGUUGGCUAAAUCUUACCAUUUAGAGGAAGGUGAAGUCGUAACAAGGUUUCCGU